CAGAAUUUUGCAUUGUGAAUGCAGGCAGCCUGAAAACAAGGAAAAUCCGUCUGGAAUGCCUAACGUGGAUUGCUGAGGAAUAUAAUACAGAUUCAUGCUGCUGGAGCUGAGUAAUGCUGGGAACAUAAUAAAGUUUUGCAACAUUUAUUAAGUAUACAAACUGUAGAUGAUCAAAUACCCUGCACAACUGAAACAGGGAUAUUGACUGUUCUCAUCUCCUUUCCUCUAUGCUUUGAGGCCACCAUGCUAGAUAAAACUUCUUUAAAGCACCUGAGAGAGAGAGAGAGAGAGAGAAAGAACACCUCCAGAGAGCAGCCUGCUGAUAGAACCUACUUCUAACAAUAUGGACAAGGCUUUGUUGGAUGUCACUGGCAGAGAGAUCAGGAGCUCAAGAUAAUCUUAAUGGCCACAGCAGGAAUGUUACAGUCAGAGCGCUUACAAUUUGUCAGAGGAAAUGCAGAACAUCUCUACAGGAGUCUGUUUAAGAGGACAUCAUUUCUCGAUAAGCUCUUGCU
rnacentral:lncRNA from 1 species